rnacentral:rRNA from 1 species
CAACACAUGCAAGUCGAACGGUGAAGCCCAGCUUGCUGGGUGGAUCAGUGGCGAACGGGUGAGUAACACGUGAGCAACCUGCCCCUGACUCUGGGAUAAGCGCUGGAAACGGCGUCUAAUACUGGAUAUGUGACGUGACCGCAUGGUCUGCGUCUGGAAAGAAUUUCGGUUGGGGAUGGGCUCGCGGCCUAUCAGCUUGUUGGUGAGGUAAUGGCUCACCAAGGCGUCGACGGGUAGCCGGCCUGAGAGGGUGACCGGCCACACUGGGACUGAGACACGGCCCAGACUCCUACGGGAGGCAGCAGUGGGGAAUAUUGCACAAUGGGCGCAAGCCUGAUGCAGCAACGCCGCGUGAGGGACGACGGCCUUCGGGUUGUAAACCUCUUUUAGCAGGGAAGAAGCGAAAGUGACGGUACCUGCAGAAAAAGCGCCGGCUAACUACGUGCCAGCAGCCGCGGUAAUACGUAGGGCGCAAGCGUUAUCCGGAAUUAUUGGGCGUAAAGAGCUCGUAGGCGGUUUGUCGCGUCUGCUGUGAAAUCCGGAGGCUCAACCUCCGGCCUGCAGUGGGUACGGGCAGACUAGAGUGCGGUAGGGGAGAUUGGAAUUCCUGGUGUAGCGGUGGAAUGCGCAGAUAUCAGGAGGAACACCGAUGGCGAAGGCAGAUCUCUGGGCCGUAACUGACGCUGAGGAGCGAAAGGGUGGGGAGCAAACAGGCUUAGAUACCCUGGUAGUCCACCCCGUAAACGUUGGGA